rnacentral:tRNA from 1 species
GCCCGGAUGGUCUAGUGGUAUGAUUCGCGCUUAGGGUUCACCCAAGCAUUGAUUGCGCGAGGUCCCCGUCGAUCCCGGGUUCGGGCC